ACAUAUACACAUGUAGAAGACAUAUAGGGAUAUAUAGAGAAACAAAAAUUAAUCACAACCGUUCGUAUGUUUGAUUUAAUAACUUAGUACUACAGUUAUAAUUUGCGAAAGUAGAUGUGGAAAACAGUUUUUUGAAAUCCUCUCAAAACAAUAAAACACUGUCGAAAGACCAAUAAAACUGCUAUUCAUGUUACUGUAUGUAUGACAUCACUAAACACCAUGUGAUAUGUAGUCUAUAUAGUACAAUAUAUUUUUAUGUUUACAACAAAUUUAAGUGUACAGUGUAUAAAUUAAUCGAGCUCUCUUUAAAGGGAUAAUUUAGAAAACUUAUUCUUUGAGUCUGUAUUCACGAAUGAAAUAACUUUUCAUUUAAUCUCUGGCGACCCUCCAACUGGAAGAAGUUGAUACUGGACAUGAAGUCUGAGACCUUAAAAUACGUGAUGCAUACAGAUGGGGGCACCUUUGAUCAUAUAGUAAGUUUACUUGAUCGGAAAUAAUCUGGA